GACGAACGCUGGCGGCGUGCCUAAUACAUGCAAGUCGAACGCUUCUUUUUCCACCGGAGCUUGCCCCACCGGAAAAAGAGGAGUGGCGAACGGGUGAGUAACACGUGGGUAACCUGCCCAUCAGAAGGGGAUAACACUUGGAAACAGGUGCUAAUACCGUAUAACAAUCAAAACCGCAUGGUUUUGAUUUGAAAGGCGCUUUCGGGUGUCGCUGAUGGAUGGACCCGCGGUGCAUUAGCUAGUUGGUGAGGUAACGGCUCACCAAGGCCACGAUGCAUAGCCGACCUGAGAGGGUGAUCGGCCACAUUGGACUGAGACACGGCCCAAACUCCUACGGGAGGCAGCGGUAGGGAAUCUUCGGCAAUGGACGAAAGUCUGACCGAGCAACGCCGCGUGAGUGAAGAAGGUUUUCGGAUCGUAAAACUCUGUUGUUAGAGAAGAACAAGGAUGAGAGUAACUGUUCAUCCCUUGACGGUAUCUAACCAGAAAGCCACGGCUAACUACGUGCCAGCAGCCGCAGUAA
rnacentral:rRNA from 1 species